AUUGAACGCUGGCGGCAUGCUUUACACAUGCAAGUCGAACGGUAACAGAUUAAGCUGACGAGUGGCGAACGGGUGAGUAAUGCAUCGGAACGUGCCCGGUCGUGGGGGAUAACGCAGCGAAAGCUGCGCUAAUACCGCAUACGAUCUGAGGAUGAAAGCGGGGGACCGUAAGGCCUCGCGCGAUCGGAGCGGCCGAUGUCAGAUUAGGUAGUUGGGGGGGUAAAGGCUCACCAAGCCGACGAUCUGUAGCCGGUCUGAGAGGACGACCAGCCACACUGGGACUGCUACACGGCCCAGACUCCUACGGGAGGCAGCAGUGGGGAAUUUUGGCCAAUGGGCGCAAGCCUGAUCCAGCAAUGCCGCGUGCAGGAAGAAGGCCUUCGGGUUGUAAACUGCUUUUGUACGGAGCGAAAAGGCUCUCUCUAAUACGGAGGGCUCAUGACGGUACCGUAAGAAUAAGCACCGGCUAACUACGUGCCAGCCGCCGCCGUAA
rnacentral:rRNA from 1 species